GCUGGGCGUGGUGGCUCACGCCUGUAAUCCUAGCACUUUGGGAGGCUGAGAUGGGUGGAUCACCUGAGGUCAGGAGUUCAAGACCAGCCUGGCCAAUAUGGUGAAACCCCGUCUCUA
rnacentral:sRNA from 1 species